rnacentral:hammerhead_ribozyme from 1 species
ACUCAGAUGAUGAGUUCCAAAUAAAACUAAACGCACGUCCUGGAU